GAUGAAGAACGUAGCGAAAUGCGAUAAGUAGUGUGAAUUGCAGAAUUCAGUGAAUCAUCGAUUCUUUGAACGCACAUUGCGCCUUCUAGUAUUCUGGGAGGCAUGCCUGUUUGAGCGUCAUUAAACCUCUCUCAAGUAUGAUUACUUGGAUGUGAAGGAAGAGUACCUUAAACUUAAGGAGUGUUCUCCUUUGAAAUUGAUUAGCAGAUGGUAAUGUUAUUAAAUCCCUGAUGUUGUAAGAAAUAACAGUGGUUUUGUAGACUAUUAUCUAGCUUUAAAUUAUAAUUUUUAUUAUGGUUGACCUCAAAUCAGGUAAGGAUACCCGCUGAACUUAAGCAUAUCAAUAAGCGGAGGA
rnacentral:misc_RNA from 1 species